rnacentral:lncRNA from 1 species
GAAUUUCAGUGUGAUGUGAGACUUCUCAACAUACACUUGGGAUAGUGCAGAGUUAUAUAUUUUGGUUUGAUAGAGAUUUCACAAUGGGAAACAGAUGUUCCUCUAAAGUUCUUCCCAUUGACUUCCAGAAAAAGGCCUCAGAAGGUGAGGAGGCAAAGUCACCUAAGGUGGCACCAAGGAAGAAAAGAACUUCUCUGGUGUGGAGACUAAAUUUUAAGAAAAAAUUGCUGCGACACAAUGCUGUCGUUUCAGUAGAACAGCAAAAUGAAGAACUCUGAAGCACUUUUUUGAAGAUGAAGACCUUACAAGAAGGCAAAGUCAUCACUCACUAAGGUCCAGUUGGGAAAAUGAAGAUCCUGUAUGUAUUCUGUAAUGACUCUUAGAAUAUAUUUUAUAUAAGAAUUGUGUGAGUGCUCUUUGAGUUUUGUACAUUGCACUAUUUUACGAACAACCUGCUGGCAAUGGUGAUUGCCCAUUGCAUUGGAAAUACCUACUGACAGCCCAAGUAACAAAUGCAUGUGUCUAUAGGCUCUGCUUUCAGCUGACUUGGCUUAGAAUUUUGUACAUCAGGAAAUGUCUACAUGUGCCUUUCCCUAGUAGAUAUUCC